UACGGGGGGGGCAAGCGUUGUUCGGAAUUACUGGGCGUAAAGGGCGCGUAGGCGGUCAGAUAAGUCAGCUGUGAAAACCUCGGGCUUAACCCGAGGCCUGCAGUUGAAACUGUUUGGCUGGAGUGUGGGAGAGGAGAGUGGAAUUCCCGGUGUAGCGGUGAAAUGCGCAGAUAUCGGGAGGAACACCAGUAGCGAAGGCGACACUCUGGGCCGGUACUGACGCUGAGGAGCGAAAGCGUGGGGAGCGAACAGG
rnacentral:rRNA from 1 species